rnacentral:rRNA from 1 species
GACGAACGCUGGCGGCGUGCUUAACACAUGCAAGUCGAACGGACAGGCCCUGCUUUUGUGGGGUGCUCGAGUGGCGAACGGGUGAGUAACACGUGAGUAACCUGCCCUUGACUUUGGGAUAACUUCAGGAAACUGGGGCUCAUACCGGAUAGGAGCUCCUGCUGCAUGGUGGGGGUUGGAAAGUUUCGGCGGUUGGGGAUGGACUCGCGGCUUAUCAGCUUGUUGGUGGGGUAGUGGCUUACCAAGGCUUUGACGGGUAGCCGGCCUGAGAGGGGGACCGGCCACAUUGGGACUGAGAGACGGCCCAGACUGCUACGGGAGGCAGUGGGGGGGAAUAUUGCGCAGUGGGCGGAAGCCUGAUGCAGCAACGCCGCGUGCGGGAUGACGGCCUUCGGGUGGUAAACCGCUUUGGCCUGAGACGAAGAGUGAGUGACGGUAAUGGGUAAAGAAGCAACGGCUAACUACGUG